AUUGAACGCUGGCGGCAGGCCUAACACAUGCAAGUCGAACGGUAACAGAAAGCAGCUUGCUGCUUUGCUGACGAGUGGCGGACGGGUGAGUAAUGUCUGGGAAACUGCUUGAUGGAGGGGGAUAACUACUGGAAACGGUAGCUAAUACCGCAUAACGUCGCAAGCCCAAAGAGGGGGACCUUCGGGCCUCUUGCCAUCGGAUGUGCCCAGAUGGGAUUAGCUAGUAGGUGGGGUAACGGCUCACCUAGGCGACGAUCCCUAGCUGGUCUGAGAGGGUGACCAGCCACACUGGAACUGAGACACGGUCCAGACUCCUACGGGAGGCAGCAGUGGGGAAUAUUGCACAAUGGGCGCAAGCCUGAUGCAGCCAUGCCGCGUGUAUGAAGAAGGCCUUCGGGUUGUAAAGUACUUUCAGCGGGGAGGAAGGGAGUAAAGUUAAUACCUUUACUCAUUGACGUUACCCGCAGAAGAAGCACCGGCUAACUCCGUG
rnacentral:rRNA from 1 species